ensembl:lncRNA LINC00971 long intergenic non-protein coding RNA 971
AGACUGCUAGGGAGCGGUGCCCUUUGUGCAUGGGGGCUACAUAAACAGGCAAUGUGCCAGGCGUGACCUGAAAGCUGUGGUUUGCUGAUAUCAAUUCUACCAUUUCCCAGAGAUCACCAUUGGGAAUGAGCUCCAUUUGCCCACAACAGUGAUCGGCUGAUGGCUCCACCCUCUACUUAGUCGCUUCUGUUUCCUGUCCCAUGGAUUCCUCACCCCACACUAAUGCUUCCAGGAACAACUUCUCAAAUAAAUCACUUGCACGUUACUGAUGGAUCCGUCCUAAAUGCCAUCCAUCUCAAGACAGAGGCCCACAGAAGUCAAUGUAUCUUCAAGAUGGGAGUACCUGGAGAUGGCUGUAGAGACCAUGUAGCAGGAAAUGGUGACAGAGAAGAGCUGGGCCUCUGGUACCAACAUGCUUCCCCCCCGUUACAGCUAUGCGGGCUGAUAGUGACGCAAUGUGUGGUUUCAAUACUUCAUAGUGUCUUACUUCACCUCAGUAUAAAGUACUUUGAAAGCAUCAAGGAAAUGGUCCUCAAAAAAGGCUUAUCCAGUCAGGACAUCUGGUGCUGGCUCUGGAAUGAGUGGAUGAAGAUAAGGCCUUCCAGUAUGGAGGUGAUAAAAAUCAGGGAAGACAGGUAAUCACAAUGGAUGACAGACCAGGAUUCCCAGAUAUCUUGGCAUGGCUGGAACAAUGUACAGAUCAAACCAUGUAAAACUUAAUGGGUAUAAACCAACUCUUCACUUUGGUCUAAAAAAGUCCAUUUGCAUGGCUUCUAGUUAAAGGUGGACAGGCUCACUUUAGAAUCCUAUUAUAUACAAAGGAUUUAGGGGGUUUAGUUCACAAUGUGCUAAAGCCAUCUCACAGUGACCAUGGUAUGAGCUGUGUGAUUUGGUUUAAAUAUAAUAGAGAAUGAAGGACAAGGUUGAGGGUGGUGGUUACAGUCCUGCCUGAUUCUGUAGUGCUCAGGUGACCUUUGAAGAAUGAAGAAAGAAGUCAAAACCCCACACUAUUAAGACAUUGGAAGACUGGGAAUGUUUAUUUUCUGAAGAAUAAAAGAUGUAGGAAACA